rnacentral:tRNA from 1 species
GGGUGAUUAUCUCAGAGUUGGUAGAGAAUCUCGUUUACACUAGAGGGUCGUGGGUUUAAGUCCCUCAUUGCCCACCA